GAUGAACGCUGGCGGCGCGCUUAACACAUGCAAGUCGAACGGUGAAGCUCCAGCUUGCUGGAGUGGAUCAGUGGCGAACGGGUGAGUAACACGUGAGCAACCUGCCCCUGACUCUGGGAUAACAGCCGGAAACGGCUGCUAAUACCGGAUAUGCACCAUGAACGCAUGUUCUGUGGUGGGAAAGAUUUUUCGGUUGGGGAUGGGCUCGCGGCCUAUCAGCUUGUUGGUGAGGUAAUGGCUCACCAAGGCGUCGACGGGUAGCCGGCCUGAGAGGGUGACCGGCCACACUGGGACUGAGACACGGCCCAGACUCCUACGGGAGGCAGCAGUGGGGAAUAUUGCACAAUGGGCGAAAGCCUGAUGCAGCAACGCCGCGUGAGGGAUGACGGCCUUCGGGUUGUAAACCUCUUUUAGCAGGGAAGAAGCGAGAGUGACGGUACCUGCAGAAAAAGCGCCGGCUAACUACGUG
rnacentral:rRNA from 1 species